rfam:Capsicum annuum cultivar Zunla-1 chromosome 6, whole genome shotgun sequence
UAAUAAUGGUGAGGGAAAUUCCUUAGCAUAACCUUAAGUAUUUCCCAAGCUUGGUUAAGAUUUUCUCUUUUUUUCUACGUAAAACUCAGAAUUUUGCUUCUUAAGCA